UGUCAAAUGGCCUGAUGUUGACAUUGUGUAUGUCCCUAUCAAUGUUCGGGCUAGUCACUGGGUAUUAGGAGUUGUCCAUCUUCAUCGAAGGAUUAUAUACGUAUAUGACUCAUUGAUGGGCAUCAAUAAUAAUGCAAGAUUGCAAGUUGCCAUUAAACCAUUAGCCAAAUUGUUGCCACAUAUAUUGAAUGCAAUAGCAUAUUAUGGUUUUCAUGGUGACACAAAAGUUAACUACCAGGAAUGGGAAAUUGAACGGCUGCAAGAUAUUCCUCAACAGGAAAAUGAUGGUGAUUGUGGCAUGUUUGUUAUCAAAUAUGUUGAAUACUUGAUGCACAACCAUCCAUUGAAGUCAUUAACAAGUGCACGAAUGGACUGGUUUCGGGAAAAGAUGGCAGCAGAGUUAUUUUAUAUGAAAUACUUGCCUAUGUAAUGAAUUCAUGUUGAUAUUUCACAUUUUGAUAAUGUAGUUGGAUGGUUUGUUAUAUGUAAUUGGAUAGCUUCAUAUAUGUAGUUAGACAUUUUGAUAAAUGUAGUUGGACAGGUUGAUAUAUCUACUUGGAUAUUUUGAUGAA